AACAUCGCGCACCUGCGGGAACCUGCGGAAGGAUCAUUAAAAAGAGUGUGUACCCCUCUGUAAAAUGAGUGGGUUACCUCCCGUCCUUUGUUGACCUCUUAGGAGGUUAUUUUGAACUUUCUGCUUCGGUGGGGUUAAACCUACCGGAACACCCUCAAAUUCUUAUCAUUUAAAAAUUGUUCAGUCUGGUUUUUGUUAAUAAAAACAAAAAACUUUCAACAAUGGAUCUCAGAUCGGAAG
rnacentral:misc_RNA from 1 species